GCUCAGCUCCUUGUCGGUCCCGAUCGCGGCCAUGCGCUGCUGCUGGGGAUUCAUCUUCAGCCACUUCUAGCAGGUCCUACGGCAGAGAAGACAAGCUGAGCCGCGGAGCCCCGGUGUCUUUUAGGUGGUGUUGAAUCCUCGCUUAAUGAAAGUAGCCAUGCAAAUCAGCUCCGAAUCACUGGGUUGUUCCAUGUGUCCUAAUCAGAGCCGGCGAGUGGAAGAAGACUGUCACUGGCACACGCAGCACACUGAUAUGUACUCUUCCACUGAGAUUGCUCACAGUGAGGAUUAUGUGAACUGGAGCUGCCAGGAGCCACCACAUGGAGCCUGAGAAGGAAGCCAACUCAGAGCACAGUGCCAAGAGAGGAAAAGGAAUAAAAUUCUAAUGGCAUUGCUUAUGCCCUUGAAGCAAACUACGCCUUAAGUUAAAUAUAUCACUAGAUUUUUUUUUCUUAGUUAUGUGAGUCGGUUGCCAACACUUCUCGUCCCCCACAGCCAGUUUGUAGUGUGUCCUUUCAUUUUGUCACUUGCAAUUAAGAUAUGUCUAAUGAUUCAAUUGGUAUCAAGAGUGGGGAUUAGUAGAGAAAAAUUCAAACUACUGAACUGGUCGGUCCAGAAGAGACUUCGUCUAUACUGAGCUUGGACUUCAAUAUAGCAAAGCAAUAGGUUAAAUCAGUACUUACUGUACUCUGGGAUUCAGAACAUGUGCCUACCAAGCAUUAAAUAUAAAAGGAAUUGUUGUUUAAAGGUUAGAGUCUAGAAGGCAUCAGGUAUUACUUCCUAGCUUUUAAUAAGGCCCUAUGAGAGAGUUAGAUUUAAGAUUGAGGUUGAUUUACCUAAGGCAGAAGAGAAAUCACUUGGUAAUGAGUGACUAUUUUUUGCUUACAGAGUAAAAUAAAAGUGACAGAAAUUUCAAUAAUCUGGGGCCAUAAAGGACUGGAGAAGCCCUAAGAGAAUGCAGUCAAACUGUCCUCAGGCAGAAAGCAAAUUAGAGGCCAGCAAACGGGGAGACUACCAAGGUCUAUUGCUAAAUACGAAAGUAGUAAUAACAUCUAGAGUCAAGACGGCAGCUUGAACAACAGCACACACUCCACUUUAGGUUCUUCCCCUUACAGAACUGGUCACAUGCAAACGCUGGAGGCUUCCUAAGACUCCAAACUGCACUGUAAGAGGUACACUAAAUCUAGAUAGCAAAGGCAGGCUACUCACACCGAACAUAAGUACCAUGAUGGGAACUACUGAUGCUUGAGGACUAAAGUGUGGUAGAUACAUAGUCCUCACUUUAAAAAAAGUCUAGUAUCUUGCUGGAGAGAUGGUCAGAGGUUCAGAGCACUCACUGCUCUUGCAGAGGACCAGGGUUUGUUUCCCAGCAGCCACAUGGCUGUUAACCACCAUCCAUGACUCCUCUUCUGGCCUCCUCAGGCAUCAGGCAUGCAAGUGGUACACAGACACACAUGCAGGCAAAAAACUCAUGAAAUAGAAUAAAAAUAAAAGUUUAAUAACAGAGCUCUUAAUCACCAUUUUCUUCAAAGUUACUUUCACUGCAGCCAGAAGCUAGGAAACGAUUAGGAAAGGCUAACUUAGCUAUUGUUACACAUUUAUUUGUGUAUGUGUGUGUGUGUGCUGUGUGUGUGUGUGUGUGUGUAUGUGUGUGUGUGUGUGUGACACUUGUGGAGGUCAGAGGACAAUUUGUAGGAAUCUAAGUUCCAAGGACUGAAUUCAGGUCUUCAGUCUUGGCAGUAGGCACCUUUCCUCAUUGUGUCUGAUUCUUUUUUUUUUUUUUUCUGUAUGUGUGUGUGUCUGAUUCUUAAAGGCACUGGGUAAAAGUGACAAUCAUCACUUCCAGUGGAGAUAAUCACAAGACUCUACUAAGCUUAACCUGAGGCUAAGAAAUGUAGUUCCUGGGUAGAUGGAUACUUAACAGCAACAAUUCUAUACAACAGAAGGAGAUCACAACUGUUUUUGGUAAAAACUAGUUAUUUUUGUCAAAGUGAGCAUUGGUUUUGCUUUUUGUUUGUUUGUUUGUUUUUGUUUUGUUUUUGGAGACAAGGUUUCCUCUGUGUAACAGCCCUGGCUGUCCUGGAACUUGCUCCAGGCUGGCCUCGAACUCACAGAGAUCUGCCUGCCUCUGCCUCCUGAGUGCAGGGAUUACAGGUGUGUGCCACCACCACCCAGCUGGUUUUGUUUUGUUUUGUUUUGUUUUGUUUUGUUUGUUUUCUCUUCAGGCCCUACUGUAUAAGGAAAGAGGAUGCUGAAGAAGUGUGACUCCUGGAAGAUUCUCUUCCUCAUUGCCCAUUUGAUUUGACUAUGGAAGAGCAGCUGAGAGUUCCUCCAGGAACAGAGCAUACGGCAUCCAGAUGAUCAAAGAACUUCCUCCCUUCUCAUGCUAGGAAAUUGUUCCUUUACUGUCGAACAAGAUGGGGUAGAUGCUGUGACUUGUAGGCCACUGUGUAUUUAGCAUUAUAAAUUUUUUUCCAAUAGCGGUU